rnacentral:rRNA from 1 species
UGUUCACCUCUUCCCAUACCGAACAGAGAAGUUAAGCCCCUCAUGGCCGAUGGUACUGCUAUAACAGGCGGGAGAGUAGGUAGGUGCCAUAU